UCGGCGCGGGGAAGCACGCUGCAAGUCGAGCGACAGAUAAGGAGCUUGCUCCUUUGACGUUAGCGGCGGACGGGUGAGUAACACGUGGAUAACCUACCUAUAAGACUGGGAUAACUUCGGGAAACCGGAGCUAAUACCGGAUAACAUAUUGAACCGCAUGGUUCAAUAGUGAAAGGCGGCUUUGCUGUCACUUAUAGAUGGAUCCGCGCCGUAUUAGCUAGUUGGUAAGGUAACGGCUUACCAAGGCAACGAUACGUAGCCGACCUGAGAGGGUGAUCGGCCACACUGGAACUGAGACACGGUCCAGACUCCUACGGGAGGCAGCAGUAGGGAAUCUUCCGCAAUGGGCGAAAGCCUGACGGAGCAACGCCGCGUGAGUGAUGAAGGUCUUCGGAUCGUAAAACUCUGUUAUCAGGGAAGAACAAAUGUGUAAGUAACUGUGCACAUCUUGACGGUACCUGAUCAGAAAGCCACGGCUAACUACGUGCCAGCAGCCGCGGUAAUACGUAGGUGGCAAGCGUUAUCCGGAAUUAUUGGGCGUAAAGCGCGCGUAGGCGGUUUUUUAAGUCUGAUGUGAAAGCCCACGGCUCAACCGUGGAGGGUCAUUGGAAACUGGAAAACUUGAGUGCAGAAGAGGAAAGUGGAAUUCCAUGUGUAGCGGUGAAAUGCGCAGAGAUAUGGAGGAACACCAGUGGCGAAGGCGACUUUCUGGUCUGUAACUGACGCUGAUGUGCGAAAGCGUGGGGAUCAAACAGGAUUAGAUACCCUGGUAGUCCACGCCGUAAACGAUGAGUGCUAAGUGUUAAGGGGGUUUCCGCCCCUUAGUGCUGCAGCUAACGCAUUAAGCACUCCGCCUGGGGGAGUACGACCGCAAGGUUGAAACUCAAAGGAAUUGACGGGGACCCGCACAAGCGGUGGAGCAUGUGGUUUAAUUCGAAGCAACGCGAAGAACCUUACCAAAUCUUGACAUCCUUUGACCGCUCUAGAGAUAGAGUCUUCCCCUUCGGGGGACAAAGUGACAGGUGGUGCAUGGUUGUCGUCAGCUCGUGUCGUGAGAUGUUUGGGUUAAGUCCCGCAACGAGCGCAACCCUUAAGCUUAGUUGCCAUCAUUAAGUUGGGCACUCUUAAGUUGACUGCCGGUGACAAACCGGAGGAAGGUGGGGAUGACGUCAAAUCAUCAUGCCCCUUAUGAUUUGGGCUACACACGUGCUACAAUGGACAAUACAAAGGGCAGCUAAACCGCGAGGUCAAGCAAAUCCCAUAAAGUUGUUCUCAGUUCGGAUUGUAGUCUGCAACUCGACUACAUGAAGCUGGAAUCGCUAGUAAUCGUAGAUCAGCAUGCUACGGUGAAUACGUUCCCGGGUCUUGUACACACCGCCCGUCACACCACGAGAGUUUGUAACACCCGAAGCCGGUGGAGUAACCAUUUACGGAGCUAGCACUCUGUGAUUUGACAAUUCGGG
rnacentral:rRNA from 1 species